AUUGAACGCUGGCGGCAGGCCUAACACAUGCAAGUCGAGCGGAGCGGCGGACGGGUGAGUAAUGCCUAGGAAUCUGCCUGGUAGUGGGGGAUAACGUCCGGAAACGGGCGCUCAUACCGCAUACUAGCAGAUGAGCCUAGGUCGGAUUAGCUAGUUGGUGGGGUAAAGGCCUACCUAGGCGACGAUCCCUAACUGGUCUGAGAGGAUGAUCAGUCACAAUGGAACUGAGACACGGGCCAGACUACUACGGGAGGCAGCAGUGGGGAAUAUUGGACAAUGGGCGCAUGCCUGAUACAGCCAUGCCGCGUGUGUGAAGAAGGUCUUCGGAUUGUAAAGCACUUUCAGUUGGGAGGCGUUACCCACAGAAUAAGCACCGGCUAACUGCGUGCCAGCAGCCGCGGUAAUAC
rnacentral:rRNA from 1 species